GGUUCAGGACGAACGCUGGCGGCGUGCCUAACACAUGCAAGUCGAACGGACGAGGGGAGCUUGCUCCCCGAGUUAGUGGCGGACGGGUGAGUAACACGUGAGCAACCUGCCCUCGGAGGGGGACAACAGUUGGAAACGACUGCUAAUACCGCAUGACGUAUUCUGGAGGCAUCUCCGGGAUACCAAAGAUUCUAUCGCCGAAGGAUGGGCUCGCGUCUGAUUAGAUAGUUGGUGAGGUAACGGCCCACCAAGUCGACGAUCAGUAGCCGGACUGAGAGGUUGAACGGCCACAUUGGGACUGAGAUACGGCCCAGACUCCUACGGGAGGCAGCAGUGGGGAAUAUUGGGCAAUGGGGGGCAACCCUGACCCAGCAACGCCGCGUGAAGGAAGAAGGCUUUCGGGUUGUAAACUUCUUUGACGAGGGACGAUAGUGACGGUACCUCGAAAACAAGCCACGGCUAACUACGUGCCAGCCGCCGC
rnacentral:rRNA from 1 species